GACGAACGCUGGCGGCGUGCUUAACACAUGCAAGUCGAACGGAAAGGCCCUGCUUUUGUGGGGUGCUCGAGUGGCGAACGGGUGAGUAACACGUGAGUAACCUGCCCUUGACUUUGGGAUAACUUCAGGAAACUGGGGCUAAUACCGGAUAGGAGCUCCUGCUGCAUGGUGGGUGUUGGAAAGUUUCGGCGGUUGGGGAUGGACUCGCGGCUUAUCAGCUUGUUGGUGGGGUAGUGGCUUACCAAGGCUUUGACGGGUAGCCGGCCUGAGAGGGUGACCGGCCACAUUGGGACUGAGAUACGGCCCAGACGCCUACGGGAGGCAGCAGUGGGGAAUAUUGCACAAUGGGCGGAAGCCUGAUGCAGCAACGCCGCGUGCGGGAUGACGGCCUUCGGGUUGUAAACCGCUUUCGCCUGUGACGAAGCGUGAGUGACGGUAAUGAGUAAAGAAGCACCGGCUAACUACGUG
rnacentral:rRNA from 1 species